ensembl:lncRNA
AUGGAGACAAUGAGAAACCACACCACUGUUCUGAGAGUGAAACAAGCACGGAUUUUAUUAGCCCUUUCUUCUUCUUUUUGAGACUUUUUCUGUUGUCUUCCUGGAGUCAUGAGUGAUGAAGUCAGCCAAAUUGUCAGAUCCAGAUGUCCUUUGAUAUAGUCACACCUGAUUAGCAGUGGCUGUAUGUGCGCUUAUGUUUGAUAUGUGUGCAUUUUGUGCCUUUACAGUUAGAUUCACUUCUGUACUUCUGUGCUGAAAGCGUUUCCAAAGUUACUAUCAGAACUCAGCGUGUGCCGUCUGCAUCGCCGUCAUCCCUCAGUCACCGCUUUCAUCUCUCUUCCCGCCUCGCGCUCUCUCUGCUGCCCUCAUGCAGGGGAGGACAAGAAGAAAAGCUCGCCGCUGAGUGAGGCUGCGCUCCGAAACGGCAGAAACAGAAUUAAAGAUCGUGAUUUUGAUGGUGUUUGAUCUUUUUACCGCCCGCUGCUUCCCUGCGAGAGGCAUAGUCAGGUCAGGCAGUCAGUUUACCGACUCAUGUCAAACUUUAUCACUCCAAAAAAUUCAAUCUGAGGUUAAAGCGUGGCGGGAGUUUUCAGCUAUCAUUCUCUUUGAAUCACCUUUUAAUGUUGUUGCCCUGCUGCUUUCAAGUGCAAUCAGACUUUUAUUUUUAAAAUGUUCAGAUCAGAGUUAAGUUGUUAGAAGUGAAACAUAAUAUCCAGGCUGGGUGUUUUUUUUUCUUUGAUUAUAUUUUUAUUACAGCAGGGGCCUGUUCUUCGUACCUCGCUAAGUAAGUUAGCUGGAUUAGAUUGUUGACGAUUUCGCGUGAUCCUGGAUCGUUCGGUUCCCCGAAGCUCAUCCGGGACUUGCUGUCAUAGCAACAGAGCCGUAAGCGUAAACCUGCUCGGGAGCAGGCUUACUUUAUGUAAACAGGAUUAGAUCGCGGCCACGCAGGUAUGUCCGCUUCAUUUAUACGAAAGCAACAGCGAUAUUUUACCACUGUUUCACCAUAAAUAAAUAACAUCAAUGUAACUAAAGAUAAUGCAGCACUUGAUCCUUUUAUUGAUUUCACACAGAUACAUACAGGUCAUUUCCUAAAAAAGGGAAAUGAACUAUUAACAUUCUAUUACAUGUAUGUGAUUAUUACAGAUGUAAUUCAUAUUUCAGAGUAGUAAUUGUAAAUUACUUCGUGUAAUCAAGAUGAGAGACCACGGCUAUAAAAGCGAA